UGAAUUUGUCCCCAAUACGCAUAACAAUCAAUUAAUGAGCUGGUCACAAAAUUGCUAGUAUCAAAUCCCCGUUUGAUGACAUGAACAUGAAGACUUGGACAAUGUUCAAGGGCUCCAUUUUGCCCCACACAUGCAUUAAUGACACUAGUCAAGGUAAAACAGUUGGGCCGGAUUUUAGUUCCUAACAUCUCUUUGAACAACAAGAGGGCAUCUCUUCCUUGUUUGUUUGCUGAAAAUCCAGCAAUAAGUGAAGUCCACGAAACCUGAUCAUGUAUUUUCAUGGCCCUAAAUAUCUUCCUUGCAUACACAAUUGCAAAACAUUUUGCAUAGAAAUCAACAAGUGCGCUACUUAGGAACAGGUUAUCUUCAUAUCCAGAUCGAAUCAGACAUGCAUGAAUUUGUAUGCCCAAAUGCCAAUUCAGGGUUUUAGCACAAGAACUAAGUGCAUUACAAAGAGCAAACUUUGUUGGCUUCUCCAUUAAUCCAUUCAUUCUGCUUAAUGACUCUAGUGCUUGGUAGGUACUUGCACUUUUAGAAUGUUUUCUAAUGCAAUCAUUUUUACAAGCUUUGCGAAAGAAUUUCUGCAUCAAAACAUCAGCAAAAAAAUCUUUUAGGUCUGUUUGGUAGGGAGAUUUUGGAGGACUAAGUCUAUAUUUUAAUAUAUAUUUGAGAAUUUUAAAGAAAACAACAAUUAAAAUGAUUAAUGAUCAUAUAACAUUUCAAUCAGCGCAGACUGGAGGCGACCGACCACGACGGCAACGAAGCCGGAGUCACAAAACGGAGAGGUGUAACGAGGAGAUGUGGCCGCCGCGGGUGAGAAAGAAGAGAUAGCAGAGCAACAUAGGGGCGAGAAGUAACGUUUUCAGAGGGAGCAGAGCAGUGAGUGUGUGACUGUGAGUCGCGGCAGAGGUGGAGUUGUGACCGUCGGUGCCGGAGUUGUGUCAAAGUUAGGGUUUCGACAUGACGGUGAUUUUUUAUUAAACUGAGGGUAGUUUUGUAAUUCAUCUUUAUAAAUUUUUUUGGGAAAGAAUGGGGUUGAGUGGUUUACCGCGGCCCCACUGUCCCUUCCCUUUCAUGUUCACUGCUG
rnacentral:lncRNA from 1 species